rnacentral:rRNA from 1 species
GUGAGGAAUAUUGGUCAAUGGGCGCGAGCCUGAACCAGCCAAGUAGCGUGAGGGAUGACUGCCCUAUGGGUUGUAAACCUCUUUUGCAGGGGGGUAAAGUGGUUCACGUGUGGACCAUUGCAAGUACCCUGCGAAUAAGGAUCGGCUAACUCCGUGCCAGCAGCCGCGGUAAUACGGAGGAUCCGAGCGUUAUCCGGAUUUAUUGGGUUUAAAGGGAGCGUAGGCGGGGGUUUAAGUCAGCUGUGAAAUGCCGUGGCCCAACCAUGGAACUGCAGUUGAAACUGGACAUCUUGAGAGUACAUAAGGAAGGCGGAAUUCGUGGUGUAGCGGUGAAAUGCAUAGAUAUUGGGAAGAACACCGGUGGCGAAGGCGGCUUACUGGACGAUAACUGACGUUGAGGCUCGAAGGCGUGGGGAGCAAACAGGAUUAGAAACCCGAGUAGUCC